GUUUAGUCCCUGUUUUAUUUUUCGCUGCAGCUGCAGCAGCUGCUUUGACUAAAGCAAUCCAGUCCUCCAAAGGAAAAACAAAAUGUGAAGUAUUAAAAAUCCAACUUUAGUUUCACUAAGACAUAAAAAAGUUGCAUCUUGACAGCUACUCAAACAUACAUACAUGUAAAAAUUAGGCUAACAAUACGUGGCUGACUAUCAUCAUGGGGGAGAUUUUAGAUUGAUAAACUAAUUAACUGAAUUGAAAAUGAAAAAAAAAAAUUGAAUGGCAAAUAGGCCUUGCAUAGGUUUUCAUAAAAUUAAUCAAAAACAGCUUUAAAAGCCUAUAGAAAAUUUAGAAUGCUAUGUGACACGCUUCAACAUUUCAGAGUUAAAAGUGAUAUUACUUUUCAUUUUCAUAAUACAGUGGAUCACACAGAAGAGAAUUACACCACGCUUUAUAAGUAUUAAGGAAAAUGUUUUACUACUGAACAAGCUACUAUUCCUUUUUAAGAUGCACAUACAUUUGAUUCAUGGUUAACUUCUUAGAAACCAAACUGUGAUUUUACUUUUUAAACAUUUAAACUUAAGGAUCAAUUCAUCACACCCUUUAUAAUACUAGUAAAGAAAUUUCGUUAGGUGCUAAAAUACUCUUUUUUAACAUUUAUUUGCUGUGGGGUAAGGGGAUGGGAGUGUACAUGCAAUGGCAUGCUUGUGGGGAAAUUUAUAUAAGUCCUUCCACCAUGUGGGUUCCUGGGAUCAAACUCAGCUCACACUAGGUCAUUAAACUUGGCAGCAAGUGCCUUUAUUUGCUGAGGCAUCUUCCCCACCCUAAAUAAAUCGUGUUACUUUUACUUCAAAAUUCUUUAUUUUGAAAAUAUAAAACACUGUAAAGAAGUAUCAAAUGCUUCUAGAUAGAAUUUUAGUUAAAAAUGUGUUUUAAAUAAACAUUUGUAAUGUUUCUACAGAGUUAAUCUUUCACUCCUGCCCCUAAAGCACUGUCUAAGUGGACAAUAAAGUCCAUCCAGCUUACACAGUUCUUAUUCUACUGAAUAUCAUUUUAUAACAUAAAAUGAAUUUAAUUAUUAGAAUGCACAAAUUAACAUAAGCACUACUGUUAACAAAUUUAAACAAAAAUAUGGGUGCUAACUAUUCACCCUUGAAAUACACAGUGAGGAUAAACAGGCCACUGCAAAUAACAAAUGUAUCUACAGUUAUCUCUCCCUCCAUCAUUGAAAUGAACUGCAAAUGCCAUGUGAUUUACGUAACAUGGUUUUUUUUGUCCAUUUUCUAUUGAAUGUCUCACAAGACUAUCCAGGUUAUCAGUCUAACAUUAAAACACAAAAGCUGAUAAAGGAAAAGAGGCUACUUAAGGAAUUUACAGAGAUAUAUAAUUAACCAUAAGAUAGUGUGAUGGGAAGGUAUAAACAAGAAAGGUUAGAAGUUCAAGACUAUCCUCAGCCUCAUAGGAAGUUCAAGAGCAGCUUGGACUAUAUGAAAGCAUCUUUAAAAGAAACGAAGAUAAGAUGAUGUGAUAGGAUAUACAAAUAUACCAUAAGAUAACAGAAGAGACUUAAUCUGACUGAAAAGAAAAACUAAUGGGAGACUUCAGAGAUAAGGGUAAAGGAGUUGGUUUCUAAAUGUAAAAAUGAAGAGAAGUGGCUUGAAAAAUGGACAGAUAAAAAGGGGGAAACCAGACUUCCAAAUGAGAUAAAAGACAUUAAAGGAAGGCAAAGAAGCCAGUGUACACAACUGGAGGCAUGUUGAGGAUUGAGGUGAAGAGGAAUUAGCUGGGGACUGCCACAGGUUGAGCUGAAAGGCUCAAAAAGAAGUAGUGAGGAGAGAAACUUCAACAAAGAAAAACCAAGGCUAGGUCAACAAAGGAGAUGAAGAGAAGUAAGCAUAACCACACCAGAAGUGCCUCAUGCAGGGUAUGUAGGUUACGCACUGCAGCUGUUUUGUUUGUUUACUUCAGUAGACAGAGCAAUGUUAGACCUGGCUAGGGGCAAUUUCCAUCUCAAGUUUCUUUCUACCUUGAAAAAAGACACACCAGAAGAAUCAUUGUGCCUUUCAAAACUUAAUUACUUAAAAAUGCUUUUUAAUCAUAAAUUGGUUAAUCAUGGCAAACAUUAUAGCC
rnacentral:lncRNA from 1 species